rnacentral:rRNA from 1 species
GACGAACGCUGGCGGCGUGCUUAACACAUGCAAGUCGAACGGAAAGGCCCUGCUUUUGUGGGGUGCUCGAGUGGCGAACGGGUGAGUAACACGUGAGUAACCUGCCCUUGACUUUGGGAUAACUUCAGGAAACUGGGGCUAAUACCGGAUAGGAUCUCCUGCUGCAUGGUGGGGGUUGGAAAGUUUCGGCGGUUGGGUAUGGGCUCGCGGGUUAUCAGCUUGUUGGUGGGGUAGGGGCUGACCAAGGCUUUGACGGGUAGCCGGCCUGAGCGGGUGACCGGCCACAUUGGGACUGAGACACGGCCCAGACUCCUACGGGAGGCAGCAGUGGGGAAUAUUGCACAAUGGGCGGAAGGCUGAUGCAGCAACGCCGCGUGCGGGAUGACGGCCUUCGGGUUGUAAACCGCUUUCGCCUGUGACGAAGCGUGAGUGACGGUAAUGGGUAAAGAAGCACCGGCUAACUACGUG